GCUGGCCCCACCGCUCCUCCGGCGGAGGGUGAGCUGGGCGGCUCGCUUGCCCGCGAUGCCAGACGUGCCCGGGAGAAAGAGAGAGCCCUCCGGAGGGGUUGGCGGCGAUUGCCGGCUUGGAGUGGCGCUCCGUGGCGUUGAGGCGGGGAGGAUUUCCCCCCCCCACACACACACAGAGACACACACGCCACUCCAGGGCUUCAGACGGUAAGGCAGAAAAAAGAGAGAAGAUGCCGUAAGGAAAGCACUGGCUGAAGAGGCAUGAACAGGUGCUUGGCCCUCAGCAAAGGACCAUCCCCUCCUCAGGGAGCUGAGAUCAGUGGGCCCAGCUGCUUCCAUUGGUGGCAGCAAUUGUCUUGUGGCAUCUAGCUUUGUUUCUGAAAGUGUGUUGGAAGGAAGAAGCAAACAGACAGAUUCAGGAAGGAAUUGUCAGACAGAAUGGGCAAAUAGGGUGGAAGGGAACUUUCGAGAAAGUGAAUUUAAAUUGUCUACAAGAGCUGAUUGUUGAAAUAAAUGCAGCAUUUACUGGAAGAUGGAGUCUUCUCAUGCCAUCAGCCUCUCAUGGCAGAAUAACAUCAACACCAUUCUGCUUCCUCCCUGGAGCCAUGCAAAUUGAGGGAGGAUUACAGCCCUGUGAAAGGAGAGGGGCAGAAGGUGCUUUUGUCUUGGUCUAGACCUGCCUCUCCCGGAAGAAACAGGCGGAGGCGCCACCGACACAGCCGCCCGGGCAGGCAGGCAGGCGGGCGAGCAGGGAGGAAGCCACGGGAGCGGCCACGAAGUUUUGCAACUUGAUCCGUCGCUCCGCCCGAGCGAAGCCUCCCAAAGGGUCCCGCGCCGCGCCGCCGCCGCCUCCCGGGCCCAGGCCGCGCUCCCGGAGGGCUUCCUCCUGCGCCAUGGGGCUCGGGACCCAGGCCCUGUGCGGGGCGGCGCUGCUGAUCCUGCUGGC